AGGGCUUGACAUGUCGGAAGUAGCGAGCCGAAAGGUGAGCCAACUGUUGAGUCAGUAGCCGUCAC
rnacentral:rRNA from 1 species